CCUGGUAGUCCACGCCGUAAACGAUGUCGACUUGGAGGUUGUUCCCUUGAGGAGUGGCUUCCGGAGCUAACGCGUUAAGUCGACCGCCUGGGGAGUACGGCCGCAAGGUUAAAACUCAAAUGAAUUGACGGGGGCCCGCACAAGCGGUGGAGCAUGUGGUUUAAUUCGAUGCAACGCGAAGAACCUUACCUACUCUUGACAUCCAGCGAACUUAGCAGAGAUGCUUUGGUGCCUUCGGGAACGCUGAGACAGGUGCUGCAUGGCUGUCGUCAGCUCGUGUUGUGAAAUGUUGGGUUAAGUCCCGCAACGAGCGCAACCCUUAUCCUUUGUUGCCAGCGAUUCGGUCGGGAACUCAAAGGAGACUGCCGGUGAUAAACCGGAGGAAGGUGGGGAUGACGUCAAGUCAUCAUGGCCCUUACGAGUAGGGCUACACACGUGCUACAAUGGCGCAUACAAAGAGAAGCGACCUCGCGAGAGCAAGCGGACCUCACAAAGUGCGUCGUAGUCCGGAUCGGAGUCUGCAACUCGACUCCGUGAAGUCGGAAUCGCUAGUAAUCGUGGAUCAGAAUGCCACGGUGAAUACGUUCCCGGGCCUUGUACACACCGCCCGUCACACCAUGGGAGUGGGUUGCAAAAGAAGUAGGUAGCUUAACCUUCGGGAGGGCGCUUACCACUUUGUGAUUCAUGACUGGGGUGAAGUC
rnacentral:rRNA from 1 species